CCUACGGGCGGCAGCAGUGAGGAAUAUUGGUCAAUGGUCGGGAGACUGAACCAGCCAAGCCGCGUGAGGGAGGAAGGUACAGAGUAUCGUAAACCUCUUUUGUCAGGGAACAAAGGCGGGGACGUGUCCCCGGAUGAGUGUACCUGAAGAAAAAGCAUCGGCUAACUCCGUGCCAGCAGCCGCGGUAAUACGGAGGAUGCGAGCGUUAUCGGGAUUUAUUGGGGUUAAAGGGUGCGCAGGCGGUCUGUUAGGUCAGCGGUAAAAGCCCGGGGUUCAACCCCGGCCCGCAGUUGAAACUGGCAGUCUCGAGUUGGAGAGAAGUAUGCGGAAUGCGCGGUGUAGCGGUGAAAUGCAUAGAGAUCGCGCAGAACUCUGAUUGCGAAGGCAGCAUGCCGGCUCCACACUGACGCUGAGGCACGAAAGCGUGGGUAUCGAACAGGAUUAGAUACCCCUGUAGUC
rnacentral:rRNA from 1 species